rnacentral:rRNA from 1 species
AUUGAACGCUGGCGGCAGGCCUAACACAUGCAAGUCGAGCGGAUGAAGGGAGCUUGCUCCUGGAUUCAGCGUCGGACGGGUGAGUAAUGCCUAUGAAUCUGCCUGGUAGUGGGGGAUAACGUCCUGAAACGGGCGCUAAUACCGCAUACUUCCUGAGGGAGAAAGUGGGUGAUCUUCGGACCUCACGCUAUCAUAUGAGCCUAGGUCGGAUUAGCUAGUUGGUGGGGUAAAGGCCUACCUAGGCGACGAUCCGUAACUGGUCUGAGAGGAUGAUCAGUCACACUGGAACUGAGACACGGUCAAGACGCCUAAGGGAGGCAGCAGUGGGGAAUAGUGGACAAAGGGCGAGAGCAUGAUCCAGCCAUGCCGCGUGUGUGAAGAAGGUCUUCGGAUUGUAAAGCACGUUAAGUUGGGAGGAAGGGCAGUAAGUUAAUACCUUGCUGUUUUGACGUUAACAACAGAAUAAGCACCAGCUAACUUCGUG